AUUGAACGCUGGCGGCAGGCUUAACACAUGCAAGUCGAGCGGAGUGAUGGUGCUUGCACUAUCACUUAGCGGCGGACGGGUGAGUAAUGCUUAGGAAUCUGCCUAUUAGUGGGGGACAACAUCUCGAAAGGGAUGCUAAUACCGCAUACGUCCUACGGGAGAAAGCAGGGGAUCACUUGUGACCUUGCGCUAAUAGAUGAGCCUAAGUCGGAUUAGCUAGUUGGUGGGGUAAAGGCCUACCAAGGCGACGAUCUGUAGCGGGUCUGAGAGGAUGAUCCGCCACACUGGGACUGAGACACGGCCCUGACUCCUACGGGAGGAAGCAGUGGGGAAUAUUGGACAAUGGGGGGAACCCUGAUCCAGCCAUGCCGCGUGUGUGAAGAAGGCCUUAUGGUUGUAAAGCACUUUAAGCGAGGAGGAGGCUCUUUUGGUUAAUACCAAGAUGAGUGGACGUUACUCGCAGAAUAAGCACCGGCUAACUCUGUGCCAGCAGCCGCCGUAA
rnacentral:rRNA from 1 species